rnacentral:rRNA from 1 species
UACGGGGGGAGCAAGCGUUGUUCGGAUUUACUGGGCGUAAAGGGCGCGUAGGCGGCGUAACAAGUCACUUGUGAAAUCUCCGGGCUUAACCCGGAGCGGCCAAGUGAUACUGUUGUGCUAGAGUGCGGAAGGGGCUACUGGAAUUCUCGGUGUAGCGGUGAAAUGCGUAGAUAUCGGGAGGAACACCAAUGGCGAAGGCAGCUCGCUGGGACGUUACUGACGCUGAGACGCGAAAGCGUGGGGAGCAAACAGG